rnacentral:misc_RNA from 1 species
GAGCUCAGCUCGAGGUUGGGUGUUAUUUUUAGUUUAUUUGUGUUUAGUCCCCUUGUAACUGCAAAGUCCAGAAGAUCUGGUUUUUUGUUCAGGUCAGUCGGCCAAUGUGUCGGUGUUCCUGUGGAUAAUAUAUUGAGGUUAUUAUUUCUAAUGUAUUUUUCCAGAGUUCUGCCUCGAGGUGUAAUGUUUCUUGACCCCCAUAGCGUGUGCUUUGAGUUGUAGUCUCCCGCUGCGAUGUACUUGUCCCCUAGGUCCUGGAAGUAUUCUUCCCACAUUUGUGAUGUUAUUUUGUGUCGCGGAGGCACAUAUACUGCUGACAACUGGAAGUAGUUGCUGCUAGUUUGAACUGUAACGGUGGUUGCUUGUAAAUAUUCUUUGUUAACUUGGCUGUGUAGAUA